rnacentral:pre_miRNA from 1 species
GGGGGGAGGUCGGAUCCUGGGCUGUUUCCCCGGCGCCCUGUGCUCCGGGCCUGAGCUCUUGUAUUCGCGCUCCCGGCCACAUAGCCCCCU